CCCUUAGAUGUUCUGGGCCGCACGCGCGCUACACUGAUGCGUUCAACGAGUAUACAACCUUGAUCGAUAGGUCUGGGUAAUCUUUUGAAUGAGCAUCGUGCUAGGGAUAGUUUAUUGCAAUUAUUAAACUUGAACGAGGAAUUCCUAGUAAACGCAAGUCAUCAGCUUGCAUUGAUUACGUCCCUGCCCUUUGUACACACCGCCCGUCGCACCAAUCGAUUGAGGUAUCUGGUGAAAAUGCAGGAAACCUCUGUGGCAUGCUUCAUUGCAAGCCGUAGAAGAUGAAUGCAUUUAAACCAGGCGCCUUAGAGAAUGGUGAAGUCGUAACA
rnacentral:rRNA from 1 species